rnacentral:rRNA from 1 species
CGCAAGGCUAAAACUCAAAGGAAUUGACGGGGGCUCACACAAGCGGUGGAGCAUGUUGCUUAAUUCGAUGCAACGCGAAGAACGUUAUCAUGGGCUUGACAUGUAGGAAUACAUCCAUGGAAACAGGGUUGGUUGCCAUUCGGGGUGAAGCAUACACAGGUGCUGCAUGGCUGUCGUCAGCUCGUGUCGUGAGAUGUUGGGUUAAGUCCCGUAACGAGCGAAACCAUCGUCGUUAGUNGCCAGCGCGCUAUGGCGGGGACUCUAACGAGACGGCCGNUGCUCUACCGGACGAAGGUGGGGAUGACGUCAAGUCAUCAUGCACUUUAUGCCCACGGCUGCAAACGUGCUACAAUGGCGUGUACAAACCGACGCAAGACCGCGAGCUGGAGCAAAUCGGAAAAAGCACGCCACAGUUCGGAUUGGAGUCUGCAACUCGACUCCAUGAAGUCGGAUCGCUAGUAAUCUCAGUCAGCAAGCUGCCGUGNAUAGUUCAUGAGCAUGUACACACCGCCCGUCAAGCCAUCGAAGCCGNGNCNAUNUGANCUCNG